rnacentral:rRNA from 1 species
UACGGGGGGGGCGAGCGUUGUCCGAAGUUACUGGGCGUAAAGGGCGCGUAGGCGGGGUGCCAAGUCCGCUGUGAAAGCCUGGAGCUUAACUCCAGCGGGUCGGUGGAUACUGGCACUCUUGAAGGCGUUAGGGGAAGAUGGAAUUACCCGUGGAGCGGUGAAAUGCGUAGAGAUGGGUAGGAACACCGGUGGCGAAGGCGGUCUACUGGACUGCAACUGACACUCAGGGACGAAAGCUAGGGGAGCGAAUGGG